CCUUGCCGGCGUCUUCUCGAGCGCUCGAGCGGUCGCGGAGGUGGGUUGCUACUUUGCCGGCGAGCGGCGGACGGGUGAGUAUGUGAGGGAAACUGGCUGGUGGAGGGGGACUUUACUGGAAACGGUAGCUAAUACCGCAUGACCUCGAAAGAGCAAAGUGGGGGAUCUUCGGACCUCACGCCAUCGGAUGUGCCCAGAUGGGAUUAGCUAGUAGGUGAGGUAAUGGCUCACCUAGGCGACGAUCCCUAGCUGGGCUGAGAGGAUGACCAGCCACACUGGAACUGAGACAUGAUCCAACUCUCAACGGGAGGCAGCAGUGGGGAAUAUUGCACAAUGGGCGCAAGCCUGAUGCAGCCAUGCCGCGUGUGUGAAGAAGGCCUUAGGGUUGUAAAGCACUUUCAGCGAGGAGGAAGGCAUCACUCUUAAUACGUGUGGUGAUUUUUUUUACUCGCAGAAGAAGCAGCGGCUAACUCCGUGCCAGCAGCCGCGGUAAUACGGAGGGUGCAAGCGUUAAUCGGAAUUACUGGGCGUAAAGCGCACGCAAGCGGUUUGUUAAGUCAGAUGUGAAAUCCCCGCGCUUAACGUGGGAACUGCAUUUGAAACUGGCAAGCUAGAGUCUUGUAGAGGGGGGUAGAAUUCCAGGUGUAGCGGUGAAAUGCGUAGAGAUCUGGAGGAAUACCGGUGGCGAAGGCGGCCCCCUGGACAAAGACUGACGCUCAGGUGCGAAAAGCGUGGGGAGCAAACAGGAUUAGAUACCCUGGUAGUCCACGCUGUAAACGAUGUCGACUUGGAGUUGUGCCCUUUGAGGCGUGGCUUCCGGAGCUAACGCGUUAAGUCGACCGCCUGGGGAGUACGGCCGCAAGGGUAAAACUCAAAUGAAUUGACGGGGGCCCGCACAAGCGGUGGGAGCAUGUGGGUUAAUUCGAUGCAACCCGGAGAACCCUUACCUACUUCUUGACAUCCACCGGAAAUUCCGCCAGAGAUGGCCUAAUUGCCCUUCGGGAACCCGUGAGACAGGUGCUGCAUGGCUGUCUGCCAGCUCGUGUAUUGUGAAAUGGUUGGGGUUAAGUCCCGCAACGAGGCGCACCCUCUUAUUCCCUUUGUUGGCCAGCCCGUUAUGGGUGGUAACUUCAAAGGAGACUGGCCUGUGAUAAUCGGGAAGUAGGGUGGGGAAUGACGUCAAGUCAUUCAUGGCCCGUUACAGAUAGGCUACCCACCGGUGCUCACAUUUGUCGUUAUACCAAGAAGGAAAAAUCCACAUACGUCUUC
rnacentral:rRNA from 1 species